UUGAAACACCUUUUGACCAAAAAUCAAAAUCAAAAUUGAACUCCUUCUUCUCUUCUCUUCUCAAAAUCACGAAAGCUAAACCCCCAAAAUCAUGUUCAUCUGAGAAGCUCAGAAUCCCUAAUUUUCUCAUCCCUUUCCGUUGAUAAAUCCCAAACGACUCAAAAAAUUCUCUAUCCGUUGGUUUCAUCCCCAAAAACCCUAAAUUCUUUAUCUGUUCAAUCCUCCCACUUUUGUGUGGACAUUCAAGACUUACGAAGGCAGUGACGUUUGCGGCGAUUGACUGACAAAGGUUUUUCUGCGAUUCACUAAGAUGCUUGCAUACUCAAAUUCGUUAGCCAAAUCUUUCAAUUAAGCUAAAAGAAAGCAAUUGGUAUGACAAGACGUUUUCCCUCUCCCUCUCCAUGGAUGAAUUCAACCUCCCCACCCAAACUUUCAUCAAAUCCUCCAUUUUUGUGUGAAUUCAAGCAUGCAUGUGAUAACUCAUGAUCUCUCUCCAUUGAUGGAAGUGGUAGGAAGCUAAGAUGUUGGAGAUUAUUAGGAUCCGAGAUUAGAAGAAUCAUAAGAGACAAAGAGCUUUUGAAGAAAAGAUAGUAAAAUUCGAAGUUGCUUCAAAAAGGUUCUUUGGCUUUCAAGUGAAGGGGCAGAAGUAGAAAGAUUGGUGAAGGGUAAGAAGCUUUGAAGCAAGGCUAGAAACUUGAAACAACUUACAAGAUUUUUUUUAGAGAUUUAGUGGUUUGGGGCUUUUGGCAUCAAGUAGAAAUCAAUCCUUGAGAUGUUGUAUCUUGUCUUGGUUAGCACAUUUUGUUGAAGAAUUUCAAGAUUUGGAAGCACAAAAUGAAGAGAUGCAAAUGAUGUUUAUGCGUUUAUUUUUCAUAGAUCAAUGAUAAUUGACAUUUUGAACUGGGUUAUACAUCAAAGACCGAAAAUAUUAUUUGCAUCUCAGCGGUUGACAACGGUUGUAAAAUGAUCAAUAGUACCAAUUUAAUUAAUAAAACUUUUCCCAUUUAAAAAAUAAUAAUAAUGUUAUUUAUAAGUAAAUGAGGCUUGUAAAAAACUAUGAACAUCUAGACUUCAAUGUUAUGUAUUUGAUGUCUCCCAUCGAAACCACCUAAGAUGAGAUUAUACCAUCUUUUUCUCUAGAAUGAUUGAAUUUCUAGUCUUAUGUUGUCUUGGGUAGAAGUAACAUUUUCUGCAAAAGACUUUAGAAUAUUCUAAUAGGGAAAGUUGUUUGAAA